UAAUACAGAGGGUGCGAGCGUUAAUCGGAUUUACUGGGCGUAAAGCGUGCGUAGGCGGCUUUUUAAGUCGGAUGUGAAAUCCCCGAGCUUAACUUGGGAAUUGCAUUCGAUACUGGGAAGCUAGAGUAUGGGAGAGGAUGGUAGAAUUCCAGGUGUAGCGGUGAAAUGCGUAGAGAUCUGGAGGAAUACCGAUGGCGAAGGCAGCCAUCUGGCCUAAUACUGACGCUGAGGUACGAAAGCAUGGGAGCAAACAGGAUUAGAUACCCUGGUAGUCCAUGCCGUAAACGAUGCCUACUAGCCGUUGGGGCCUUUGAGGCUUUAGUGGCGCAGCUAACGCGAUAAGUAGACCGCCUGGGGAGUACGGUCGCAAGACUAAAACUCAAAUGAAUUGACGGGGGCCCGCACAAGCGGUGGAGCAUGUGGUUUAAUUCGAUGCAACGCGAAGAACCUUACCUGGCCUUGACAUACUAGAAACUUUCCAGAGAUGGAUUGGUGCCUUCGGGAA
rnacentral:rRNA from 1 species